rnacentral:lncRNA from 1 species
AAGGCGGUGCUGGGAGCCGCUCAGAGCUCAGAGAAGCGGCGCGCGGCCAGGAGCCCCCGCUCCGCCACUGCCGUGCCUGCCUCCCGCAGCUGUCUGCCAUGCGCUCGCCGGGGCAGGGGCGCCCGGAGAGCGGCGAGAGCUGGGCCUGAGCCCGGGAACGCGCCUGAUCGGGGUGGCGGAGCCGCGGUCCCCACAGCCGCCCCACCCGCGCCGCUGCCUCGUUGGGGCCCGGGCCCCCUUCCCGUUACUCCCCUGCUGGUGCCUCCCUCCCUGGCGCGGUUCCCACCUGCGAUCGGCGCCCUCUUCGCAGUCACGAACUCGCCAGCAGCUAGCAGCACUGACUAGUAGGAGGGCCCGCCGGAGGAGAGGACAUGCUCUGGAGUCAGAAGACGGCGAAAAGAGAAGCAGAAGCCUCGGUGGCAAGAGUCCGAAGCAGGACGCAAUCACUGUAACCUGUGGAUUGUACUGCAGUAGGAAACUAUCCUAGCGAGGCUCUGCUUUGCCCCAGCUUCAAGCUGGAAAGGAGGAGAACAUGAAACGUUGCUUGAAGACAAUGGCCGAGACAGCAGGUCCCACCCUGCACAGCCACCAGCAUCUCUCCCCUCAGCCCUGUCUCCUCUUCUGCAGUUGGGAUCUGCACAUUUAAGCCCCAAAUUGUCCUGUGAAGUGAAGUAUGAUCGGACAGCCUCUUUUCAGCUUUUAUGAAAAUGGAGACAGAGGAAUUGUGGCUCUUGCCAAGGUCACAGGAUUGGAAUGCAGAGCCAAGCCACCCCAGGACAUGCAAGAGCCUCAGAAGGGAAAAAGCCCAGCAGGAAGGGAGAACAAGUAGCCUCUGUCCUGAGGUUGUAACAGCCAAGGGCCAGGAUGGAGGAGGAGGACCCCAUGAUCUGCCCAUCUGGCACUUGGCAGGGGACCUGGGAAAAUGUACCCCAACCCAUCCCUCAAGGGCCUUUGCC